rnacentral:rRNA from 2 species
UUUCCGUAGGUGAACCUGCGGAAGGAUCAAUGUC